UCUUUAUCACUAGACAUCAGGACCCAGGUCCGCCCAAAGCCGAAAAUAACAUGCUAGGCAGACCCUGAUACAUCCAGCAAAUUAAAAAAACAGUAUUUGGAAAAUCUCAAAAUCUGCUUAUAACCUUGGCCUGGCUAGUUUGAUAUCCUUGGCUAACAACAGACGAGCAGAACCAAGGAAUUCAUCAACAAAAAGAGAUUACAUUUGAUGGGUUCAAGAGGAGUAAUGAAUAUGGGGGCAUUAGCAUCAAGGGCAAAUCGAAUGAGGACGAAGCUACAAUCAACAUUAGAAGCAAGUGUUCUUGAAAUUGAAGAUGUUUCACAUCAACAUGCUGGUCAUGCUGCUAUGAGAGAAGCUAAUUAUUGUGGUGGUGAAACUCACUUCAAUUUGAAGAUUGUUUCCCCUAAAUUUGAGGGUCAAAAUCUUGUUAAACGACAUCGUAUGGUGUAUGAUCUUUUAGCUGAUGAACUUCAGUCUGGUCUUCAUGCAAUCUCUAUCAAUGCUAAAACCCCACAAGAAGUUGCUAGCAAAUGAUCAAUUUUCAAGCCAAUGUUGGAAGCAAGGUUAAUUGGAUUCAGACUCUAGUCCGGACAGUGGGGCAAUGCAAGAGAGUAUCAUUGAUCUUUGUAUGGUUCAAGUGACCUAUCAAAAUUUAAAAGCACGACUUUUGUUUGAUUUGCCGAAUAAUUUGUGGUAUAACCAAGACUUAUACUCAUCUUAAUCACUCUGAGUAUUGUUGUUUGAUUUGACUAUACUCUGAGUUUAUGUAGCACCUUUGUCGAGUUUGCUUGGCAUCUUGUCACAUUAUCUUUGAAAUGUACCCAGUGGAGGUGCACUACAUUA